AUUGAACGCUGGCGGCAGGCCUAACACAUGCAAGUCGAACGAGUGGCGGACGGGUGAGUAAUGUCUGGGAAACUGCCCGAUGGAGGGGGAUAACUACUGGAAACGGUAGCUAAUACCGCAUACCCUCAGAUGUGCCCAGAUGGGAUUAGCUAGUUUGUGGGGUAACGGCUCACCAAGGCGACGAUCCCUAGCUGGUCUGAGAGGAUGACCAGCCACAGUGGAACGUAGACACGGUCCAGACUCCGACGGGAGGAAGCAGUGGGGAAGAUUGCACAAUGGGCGCAGUCCUGAUGCAGCCAUGCCGCGUGGAGGAAGAGGGCCUUCGGGUUGUAAAGUACUUUCAGCGGGGAGGCGUUACCCGCAGAAGAAGCACCGGCUAACUCCGUGCCAGCAGCCGCGGUAAUUC
rnacentral:rRNA from 1 species